ACGAACGCUGGCGGCGUGCUUAACACCUGCCAGUCGAACGGAAAGGCCCUGCUUUUGUGGGGUGCUCGAGUGGCGAACGGGUGAGUAACACGUGAGUAACCUGCCCUUGACUUUGGUAUAACUUCAUGAAACUGGGGCUAAUACCGGAUAGGAGCUCCUGCUGCAUGGUGGGGGUUGGAAAGUUUCGGCGGUUGGGGAUGGACUGGCGGCUUUUCAGCUUUUUGGUGGGGUUGUGGCUUACCAAGGCUUUGACGGGUAGCCGGCCUGAGAGGGUGACCGGCCAAAUUGGGACUGAGAUACGGCCCAGACUCCUACGGGAGGCAGCAGUGGGGAAUAUUGCACAAUGGGCGGAAGCCUGAUGCAGCAACGCCGCGUGCGGGAUGACGGCCUUCGGGUUGUAAACCGAUUUCGCAUGUGACGAAGCGUGAGUGACGGUAAUGGGUAAAGAAGCACCGGCUAACUACGUG
rnacentral:rRNA from 1 species